GAUGUGAGGGUGAACUGUCACCCAGUUGAACUCUGGCAUUAAUAUGGCUGACCUCAUCUGGCUGAGUGGAUGACCUCUUUUUCCUUUUCACCAUGUAUGUCUCUUUCAAAGCUGUGUGCUCUGUCAAAGAGGAUGCCUUUCCCCUAGAGGAAGACUGUUUUCAGUCAAGAGAAUACAACUAGACAUGCUCCCCUACUAGAUCUUCAAUAGAGUGCUCAAUUUGUUUAUAAGAAAACUGCCAGCUUUUCAAGAGACAUCCCCAGCAGUAAACUGCCACAGUUGCUGUUGCUC
rnacentral:snRNA from 1 species